GCUGAAGAGAAGGCACUACCGGGACACAAGCCGAUAAAGGAUGCUAUUUACAACUCCGAAACUCCUAGACCAUUUUUUUUAAAUACCACAAAUAUUCACCGACACCAAGACAAGGCUUUGGGAAGAGCGACCGGACAGGAUCGACAGGCUUUGACGAGAGCGACUGGGUGGAUGCACGCAGGCUGGGAAAGAAUCACCAGGACUACACAGCAGACCCCGCAGGCUACCGGAGUGAACCCCAAGAAGCCCACGACACGCAGGGGCAGAGGAAACUCUCCCUCCGAAGUAAGUGUCGUGCAUUGUGGAUCUGUGGGGGUGUUCAACUGCCUUGGGCUGUGAGCUUGCGGGCUCGUGUGUUGUGUGCUGGCUGUGUGGUUCUGUGGGCAGGAGCGAUCGGGACCCAGAGACCUGCGGUGACCCCCGGAAGCGACCAAGAGGCGGAGUGAGACGGGACGAGUACGGCCACAUAGGUCCCACGAGAGACUGGAGCGAUCGGGACCCGGAGACCUGCAGUGACCCCCGGGAGCGACCAAGAGGCGGAGCGAGACGGGACGAGUACAGCCACGUAGGUCCCACAAGAGACUGGUGAGGAGAGUGGGCGUACCCAAUACUUCUACGCGGAACUACAGCAGAGGCAGGGGAAACCCUGCCUUGCGUGUAAGUGUGACGUCAGCCCGCAGAGCGUCUCCGUGUUUUUAAAUGAUUUUAUCCCCGUGGCCUGCCUCCGUUCUAAUUCUGUGUGCAGGAAGACGCCGUGGAAGUGGGCGGAGCCAGGACACUGACCCACUACGCCUGUCGUGACUGUACCCUCCCUGGAUUGCGACACAGUGUGGGAGGCCACAGCGAGAAGAAAGACGGUGAGACGGAGAGAUAAUGACGGCCACGGCGAGACGGAUGGCGGGAUGUUAAAGAUUAAGGAGCAAAGAGGGACGGACGGCAGACAUCAGGAAGAAAAGUGUGGGUUGUAGAGAGUGGAGGCAUUGUUUAAUCAUUGGGAAACAAGACGCUGAGAGAUGAGGGGUGGUAAGAUGGGUAAUGGCGGGAAGGCAGAUGAGGAGAGUGACAGAUACGACGACAGAGGAGGGGAGUCCGGAAUGAGAAUGAAGUAAAGCAAGGAAGGACAUAUGGAGAUUUAAAAUACAAGACACACAGCAAUGGAUAAGGCGGUAUAAAACAUGAAAGGUAAACAAAUUGAAAGACAAGUCUUAAAUUAGUAUACUAAAGCUCAGAUAUUUCGGGGAAAUCCAAUUCGACAUUUUCCAUGAGGAUUGUGGAUAAGAAAUGUAUUCAUUUUUGCACAGAUUUUUGACUAUAUCUGUUGAUACCUUGGUUUUCCUUAUUAAUCUGUCACAAUCAUGUAUGACAGUUUUGGACUUUUUAUUCUCUUUUGUUUUGUAUCGUUUCCUGUAUACGCUCUUUUUCAUAGUUCCACUUCCUUUGUUGGCAUGAAGAUAUUUACUUCACUCCUGUUGUAAGCGCUGUUCUCCUCAUCUGCUCCCGAUUGGUAUUUCUUUGCUCUUGUGCGAGCAAAACAUGUUUGCACUCGCAAGAUCUUUUCGCUCACAACCUUUUGGCACUGUAUUAAAAUAAAACAACACUGAAUACAUCUAAAUGGUUGAAAGUGGAAGCAUGAGAUGGCCCAAACACAAGGACAAUGUUGUUGCAUGGAAAAGCUAGCAGGCAACAUGCAAACAGGGAAACGUUGUACAGAUAAUAGCGGUGCAAAGGAACUUCCAUAGCACUACAGAGUUGACCUGAAAACAGAGAGGAGUCUAGUGGAAAUAAACUUUCUUGCCUAGAAAACAGAGGCUGGAUGUCCACCCAAAGAUAUGUUGUCUGUGCACAACCUCUUUGAUUCAGAAUUUUUACACUUGCAAGAUUUUUUUGCUUACAAUUUGCUCUUACUGUAUUAGAAUUACACAGCAAAUACUGAAGAAAUCGAAAUGGUUGAAAAGCAAUAUUGUUAAAGGCCAACUGAAACCCACUACUA